UGGGGAAUAUUGGACAAUGGGCGCAAGCCUGAUCCAGCCAUGCCGCGUGAGUGAUGAAGGCCCUAGGGUUGUAAAGCUCUUUCACCGGUGAAGAUAAUGACGGUAACCGGAGAAGAAGCCCCGGCUAACUUCGUGCCAGCAGCCGCGGUAAUACAAAGGGGGCUAGCGUUGUUCGGAUUUACUGGGCGUAAAGCGCACGUAGGCGGACUUUUAAGUCAGGGGUGAAAUCCCGGGGUUCAACCCCGGAACUGCCUUUGAUACUGGAAGUCUUGAGUAUGGUAGAGGUGAGUGGAAUUCCGAGUGUAGAGGUGAAAUUCGUAGAUAUUCGGAGGAACACCAGUGGCGAAGGCGGCUCACUGGACCAUUACUGACGCUGAGGUGCGAAAGCGUGGGGAGCAAACAGG
rnacentral:rRNA from 1 species